rnacentral:rRNA from 1 species
UAGUCAUAUGCUUGUCUCAAAGACUAAGCCAUGCAUGUCUAAGUAUAAAUGUUAUACAGUGAAACUGCGAAUGGCUCAUUAAAACAGUUAUAGUUUAUUUGAUAAUCGAAUUUACAUGGAUAACCGUGGUAAUUCUAGAGCUAAUACAUGCUGUUAAGCCCAACUUCUCGGACGGGCUGUAUUUAUUAGAUAACAAGCCAAUAUUCCUCGCGUCUAUUGUGAUGAUUCAUAAUAACUGAUCGAAUCGCUGGUCCUUGACCGCGAUACAUCAUUCAAGUUUCUGCCCCAUCAGCUUUCGAUGGUAGUGUAUUGGACUACCAUGGCUUUAACGGGUAACGGAGGAUUAGGGUUCGAUUCCGGAGAGGGAGCCUGAGAAACGGCUACCACAUCUAAGGAAGGCAGCAGGCGCGUAAAUUACCCAAUCCUGACUCAGGGAGGUAGUGACAAGAAAUAACGGACCGGGGCUUCGCGCUUCGGGAUUGCAAUGAGCACAAUUUAAACCCCUUAGCAAGGAUCAAUU